AUAUUUUAUCUUGGCCUCUUCAUCUCAGAUUUGACACAUUGCUGCAGAUUAUCCUUCUGAGCCUAACACCUUCUUUCCAAAGUCACUAUUCCUGUUAUUUGACCAUCUUUGGUCUCCUAAUGGCAUCAGGGAUUCUGCUGUUCCUUUAACAUAAGAACUGCUGUGAAAGUUCAAACCAAGUUCCAAACCCAACAGUGAUCAAACAGGUUCUUCUGGAAGCUCACAAGCCAGGCAUCAAGGUGAAGGACAUCACUUGCUGUUUGUCCUUACCAGCAAACGAUAUUACAAGUAUACUAGGGCUGAAAAUGGAAGUUCAGUUUAACCAUGAAGAACUAGGUGCUCUUAAUAGACUAUGAAUUAGUCAGUUAAGAUGGUGACUAUCUUAAACUCUCGAAUUACAGAAGCCCCCAUCAGUCCUCUGACUUCUGGUUCCAAGACAGCUUUAUCCUAUUUUCUGUCACCCUGACUGCAUCUUUUCCUUGCAUCUAUUACCACAUGUAACCUUCUGACCGAGUAAUGUGAUCUUGAUUGAAGACACCAAGGAAUCAGCGAGAAUUCAAUUGUGGAAGCGCAUGAUGCUUUGCAGAAUUUCAUGAGCAAGAAAAGGCAAGCCCUUUUCCUAUGAAGGAAGGAAAGAGACAAGAGACAGGAAGAAGAAAAAGAUAGAGAGAGGGAGUGUUAAGUGGCUGCUAUUUUCCAUUAUUACUAUUUUCUACUACGGCUAGGAAGGGGAGGAAAAGAACAGAACACCUUGAACGUAUCCAUUAAUUCCAUUUCAAGCCUGCAGCAUUCCACCCUGCCAGCUUUCUUGGCUGCUUGAUGAAUCAGGAUCUGCUAGGAUCUGCAUGUGGCUGCCCCAUGUGGUAAAUAUCUGAACUUCAGCUUACAGCCUUCUCAAGGAAGAGCCUUCUGGAUGGACUCCACUCAUCUAACCUGACCACUUUUUGUCUUUUGACAGAAUUGGGUGGAAUUUGCAGGCAUAAUAGGCCUUUCAGAGUGGAUGGAGUAUGCCAAAUUUCAGGCAAAUAAAGGCACAGAUUUUUGUA